rnacentral:rRNA from 1 species
UNGUCUGUAACUGACGCUGAGGCUCGAAAGCGUGGGGAGCGANCAGGAUUAGAUACCCUGGUAGUCCACGCCGUAAACGAUGAGUGCUAGGUGUUAGGUCCUUUCCGGGACUUAGUGCCGCAGCUAACGCAUUAAGCACUCCGCCUGGGGAGUACGACCGCAAGGUUGAAACUCAAGGGAAUUGACGGGGGCCCGCACAAGCGGUGGAGCAUGUGGUUUAAUUUGAAGCAACGCGAAGAACCUUACCAGGUCUUGACAUCCCAGUGACCGCCCUAGAGAUAGGGUUUCCCUUCGGGGCACUGGUGACAGGUGGUGCAUGGUUGUCGUCAGCUCGUGUCGUGAGAUGUUGGGUUAAGUCCCGCAACGAGCGCAACCCUUAUUGUUAGUUGCCAUCAUUAAGUUGGGCACUCUAGCGAGACUGCCGGUAAUAAACCGGAGGAAGGUGGGGAUGACGUCAAAUCAUCAUGCCCCUUAUGACCUGGGCUACACACGUGCUACAAUGGCUGGUACAACGAGUCGCAAACCGGUGACGGCAAGCUAAUCUCUGAAAGCCAGUCUCAGUUCGGAUUGUAGGCUGCAACUCGCCUACAUGAAG